rnacentral:lncRNA from 1 species
AGGAACUGUCCUGAGCCCACCAAAUGGGCUAUGUGUGUUAAUCCUCCAAAUGUGGGAUUUAGGCAGUAUUUUCCUCAUUUUAGGUUCAAGGCCUAGCAAGAAAGCACCUCUGUUUUUGCUGCAACAGUAAGUCACCUGCAUCACAUUUCCUAGGUCCAAGCCCUAUUGGUGAGUAGGGAUGGGGGAGGGCUCAGCCCUUUCUGGUCACCUCUACAAAGGAGAAGCUCUAGCCCUGGGAUGCCCCCCUCCAAGCAGAGAAAAAGCAACGCAGAGAGGACCACCACUUGGAGUCAGUGCUCACCCACGAGCAGCGCUAGAAGAACAGUGAGACCGGGUGACAUCCCAGAUGGAUGGUCUGGAGCUGCAGAGGGUGACAGGGAUAAUGCAGAUCUUCCCUCAUAUCUGCUGCUGCCUGGACCACCCAAGCAAGGGCAAGAAGGACUGAUGAGGAAUGAUGACGGCCAGGCAGAACCUACAGGGCUUUCUCGGUGCCCAGAGGCGGCAUGCGGCACAGGUCACACCCACACAGAGCCUGACACAUCCAGUCGGCACCUACUGAUUGACUGAGUCAGCCUCAUGCCAGGCCACAGCAAUUGGGGAGGAAGGUUCCCGUCUCACCAAAGAGGCUUGGUGGGUUAUUUGAGGACUAAAGUGAUAAAGCUGGUGGCUAAGGAGCCUGGGACUGUCUCUGCCUGUGCUGGCAACUUCCCCAGUAAUGCUGAGAGCGCUGCCUGCCAGCAGUCCCACAGGCACCCAGACCCAGCACGCCUUCUGGGGCUGCAUCCAUUGAGGGAGGAAGAUUCACCCUCCUUUCCUCCAUGCAAAAGGAGCCCAGCCCAGGAGCCAACCUGACAGCUGAGGGGUGUGCCUGGGACACCCUCCAGAAGGGUGAGCUCACUCCCUCUCCUGCCCCUCCUUCCCAGAAGCAUUAGACUGGAGCUGGGGGACACCCUUCCCGUCACUGCAGCAGCCUGCCCAUCACUCCCUACCCCCACCCCCAAUGCUGCCAAGAAGCUUCCUGCACAGGGAUUGGGAACACAAGGAAGGGUGGGGAAGGCAUGAUGCCAGAGAGAGGGACAGCAGGGAGCCUAAGGCAAGGCCCACCCAGGUUCCCAGUCCUUCCCUGUGAACCAUCUCCAUCAUACCCACCACCUUCUGAUGUGUCCUACAUCAUAGAUGGCAUUUAUUUUGCUCAUUGUCUGCCUCUCUCCAUUGACUUUCAGCUCUCUGCAGAGAUUCUAGUCCUUUUUGUUCAUGUCCCAGGACCUAGACCAUGAUGAGCACAAGCAGAAACAGACCCUGUCAUGGAGGAAUGGAUGUGCCACAUGGCCUAGGUGGAGCCAGGGCUAGCAAAGGCCAGGGUUCUACUCAGCACAAGGACCUCCAACUGUUUUCCAGGUUUUACCCCAUGCACUUCCCACACAUAUCCCUCAUGUAGCCCUUAGAGUGAUUAUCCUACCAGUCUCAUGACCAGAACACAAGGACCCCAGUCAUUGAGCCUCUCCCAGCCACACCACAGUCAGCAGUGAAAGAGGCAGCUGGAGCCAGCCUGGACCCAGGGAUCAUCAUUGCACCCACCACUAGUUGCUCCCUGGGAGCAGCCACUUCAGAGGGAUCCCCAACCCAUGUAUACAGCCCCUGAGAAGAAGGAGCCCUCUGCACAGGCAGGGAGUGGGUAGGGGAAGGAAACUGCUGUCAAUGUUUUCCUUACCCCAACACCAGUGAACACUUCCUCGGGAUCCCUGGGUGGCGCAGCGGUUUGGCGCCUGCCUUUGGCCCAGGGCACGAUCCUGGAGACACGGGAUCGAAUCCCACGUCGGGCUCCUGGUGCAUGGAGCCUGCUUCUCCCUCUGCCUGUGUGUCUGCCUCUCUCUCUCUCUCUCUCUGUGACUAUCAUAAAUAAAUAAAAAUUUUAAAAAAAUUAAAAAAAAAAA